rnacentral:rRNA from 1 species
GACGAACGCUGGCGGCGUGCUUAACACAUGCAAGUCGAACGGAAAGGCCCUGCUUUUGUGUGGUGCUCGAGUGGCGAACGGGUGAGUAACACGUGAGUAACCUGCCCUUGACUUUGGGAUAACUUCAGGAAACUGGGGCUAAUACCGGAUAGGAGCUCCUGCUGCAUGGUGGGGGUUGGAAAGUUUCGGCGGUUGGGGAUGGACUCGCGGCUUAUCAGCUUGUUGGUGGGGUAGUGGCUUACCAAGGCUUCGACGGGUAGCCGGCCUGAGAGGGUGAACGGCCACAUGGGGACUGAGAGACGGACCAGACUCCUACGGGAGGCAGCAGUGGGGAAUAUGGCACAGUGGGCGGAAGCGUGAUGCAGCAACGCCGCGUGCGGGAUGACGGCCUUCGGGUUGUAAACCGCUUUCGCCUGUGACGAAGCGUGAGUGACGGUAAUGGGUAAAGAAGCACCGGCUAACUACGUG